CCCUUAGAUGUCCUGGGCCGCACGCGCGUUACACUGAUGCAUUCAACGAGCUUAUAACCUUGGCCGAGAGGCCUGGGCAAUCUUGUUAACGUGCAUCGUGAUAGGGAUAGAUUAUUGAAAUUAUUAAUCUUGAACGAGGAAUUCCUAGUAAACGCAGAUCAUCAAUCUGCAUUGAUUACGUCCCUGCCCUUUGUACACACCGCCCGUCGCACCUACCGAUUGAAUGGUUCGGUGAAGAUCUCGGACUUCGAUAUUUGUUCUUCAUUGAACUUAUAUUGUGGGAAGUUAUCUAAACCUCAUCAUUUAGAGGAAGGUGAAGUCGUAACA
rnacentral:rRNA from 1 species